GAGGAAUAUUGGUCAAUGGGCGGGAGCCUGAACCAGCCAAGUCGCGUGAAGGAAGAAGGAUCUAUGGUUCGUAAACUUCUUUUGCAGGGGGAUAAAGUGCAGGACGUGUCCUGUUUUGUAUGUACCCUGAGAAUAAGGAUCGGCUAACUCCGUGCCAGCAGCCGCGGUAAUACGGAGGAUCCGAGCGUUAUCCGGAUUUAUUGGGUUUAAAGGGUGCGUAGGUGGUUUGAUAAGUCAGCGGUGAAAGUUUGCAGCUUAACUGUAAAAAUGCCGUUGAAACUGUCGGACUUGAGUGUAAAUGAGGUAGGCGGAAUGCGUGGUGUAGCGGUGAAAUGCAUAGAUAUCACGCAGAACUCCGAUUGCGAAGGCAGCUUACUAAGCUACAACUGACACUGAAGCACGAAAGCGUGGGGAUCAAACA
rnacentral:rRNA from 1 species